rnacentral:tRNA from 1 species
UUUUAGGUAGUAUAUUAAGUACAUAAAGUUUUGAUCUUUAAAGAAUUGUUAGUAAGCAAUCUUAAAAA